rnacentral:rRNA from 1 species
AGCGAACGCUGGCGGCAGGCCUAACACAUGCAAGUCGAACGAACCUUUCGGGGUUAGUGGCGGACGGGUGAGUAACACGUGGGAACGUGCCUUUAGGUUCGGAAUAACUCAGGGAAACUUGUGCUAAUACCGAAUGUGCCCUUCGGGGGAAAGAUUUAUCGCCUUUAGAGCGGCCCGCGUCUGAUUAGCUAGUUGGUUGAGGUAAUGGCUCACCAAGGCGACGAUCAGUAGCUGGUCUGAGAGGAUGAUCAGCCACAUUGGGACUGAGACACGGCCCAAACUCCUACGGGAGGCAGCAGUGGGGAAUCUUGCGCAAUGGGCGAAAGCCUGACGCAGCCAUGCCGCGUGAAUGAUGAAGGUCUUAAGAUUGUAAAAUUCUUUCACCGGGGACGAUAAUGACGGUACUCGGAGAAGAAGCCCCGGCUAACUUCGUG